rnacentral:rRNA from 1 species
AGAGUUUGAUCCUGGCUCAGGAUGAACGCUGGCGGCAUGCCUAAUACAUGCAAGUCGAACGAAGCCUUCAGAAAGCUUGCUUUCGAAAAGGCUUAGUGGCGAACGGGUGAGUAACACGUAGGUAACCUGCCCAUGUGCCCGGGAUAACUGCUGGAAACGGUAGCUAAAACCGGAUAGGUAUGAGGAUCGCAUGAAGCUCAUAUUAAAGCACCGUCAGGUGUGAACAUGGAUGGACCUGCGGCGCAUUAGCUAGUUGGCGGGGUAACGGCCCACCAAGGCAGUGAUGCGUAGCCGACCUGAGAGGGCGAACGGCCACAUUGGGACUGAGACACGGCCCAAACUCCUACGGGAGGCAGCAGUAGGGAAUUUUCGUCAAUGGGGGAAACCCUGAACGAGCAAUGCCGCGUGAGUGAAGAAGGUCUUCGGAUCGUAAAGCUCUGUUGUAAGCGAAGAACGGUCCGCAUAGGAAAUGAUGCGGGAGUGACGGUAGCUUACCAGAAAGCCACGGCUAACUACGUGCCAGCAGCCGCGGUAAUACGUAGGUGGCAAGCGUUAUCCGGAAUCAUUGGGCGUAAAGGGUGCGUAGGUGGCGGAUUAAGUCCGUAGUAAAAGGCAUUGGCUCAACCAAUGUAAGCUAUGGAAACUGGUCGGCUGGAGUGCAGAAGAGGGCGAUGGAAUUCCAUGUGUAGCGGUAAAAUGCGUAGAUAUAUGGAGGAACACCAGUGGCGAAGGCGGUCGCCUGGUCUGCAACUGACACUGAGGCACGAAAGCGUGGGGAGCAAAUAGGAUUAGAUACCCUAGUAGUCCACGCCGUAAACGAUGAGAACUAAGUGUUGGAGAGAUUCAGUGCUGCAGUUAACGCAAUAAGUUCUCCGCCUGGGGAGUAUGCACGCAAGUGUGAAACUCAAAGGAAUUGACGGGGGCCCGCACAAGCGGUGGAGUAUGUGGUUUAAUUCGA